GACGAACGCUGGCGGCGUGCUUAACACAUGCAAGUCGAACGGAAAGGCCCUGCUUUUGUGGGGUGCUCGAGUGGCGAACGGGUGAGUAACCCGUGAGUAACCUGCCCUUGACUUUGGGAUAACUUCAGGAAACUGGGGCUACUACCGGAUAGGAGCUCCUGCUGCAUGGUGGGGGUUGGAAAGUUUCGGCGGUUGGGGAUGGACUCGCGGCUUAUCAGCUUGUUGGUGGGGUAGUGGCUUACCAAGGCUUUGACGGGUAGCCGGCCUGAGAGGGGGACCGGCCACAUUGGGACUGAGAUACGGACCAGACUCCUACGGGAGGCAGCAGUGGGGAAUAUUGCACAAUGGGCGGAAGCCUGAUGCGGCGGCGCCGCGUGCGGGAUGACGGCCUUCUGGUUGUAAACCGCUUUCGCCUGUGACGAAGCGUGAUUGACGGUAAUGAGUAAAUAAGCACCGGCUAACUACGUG
rnacentral:rRNA from 1 species